UACGUAGGUGGCAAGCGUUGUCCGGAUUUAUUGGGUUUAAAGGGUGCGUAGGCGGCCCCAUAAGUCAGUGCUGAAAUAUCCCGGCUUAACCGGGAGGGUGGCAUUGAUACUGUGGGGCUUGAGUAAAGUUGAGGUUGGCGGAAUUGACGGUGUAGCGGUGAAAUGCUUAGAUAUCGUCAAGAACACCGAUAGUGUAGACAGCUAACUAAGCUUUAACUGACGCUGAGGCACGAAAGUGUGGGGAGCAAACAGG
rnacentral:rRNA from 1 species